rnacentral:lncRNA from 1 species
CAGAGCCAAGCAGGAACCCGUCCUGCCCCAGGCCUGAGCUUUCUUAAGAGGCUCAUGGGGCAGAAAGGGUCAUUGUGCAUUUUUGUUGACUAUUGAUUCUCCCCUUCAUUCAACAACUGUACUGAGGCCAGAUCCCAAACUGAGCUCUGACGAGAUGGAGAAGCAAAGGACACGGUUCCUGCCCCCAAGGAGCUCCCAGACAAGCAGGAGAGAAGGUGGCUCCCAGACAAGCAGGAGAGAAGGCAGCUCCCAGACAAGCAGGAGAGAAGGCCGUGGAAAUGAUCCUUCUGAUACCACAGCCUGCCGAUGUCAUCUAGAACUCUGGGGGAUUGGGGGAAAACGAACAGAACCAGAUUAAAAAAAAAACCCUGUCCUUAGCUAGGUGUGGUGGUGGGCACCUGUUAUCCCAGCUACUUGGGCGGCUGAGGCAGGAGAAUCGCUUGAACCCAGGAGGUGGAGACUGCAGUGAGCCAAGACUGUGCCACUGCACUCCAGCCUGGGUGACAGAGCGAGACUCUGUCUCAAAACAAAAAAUGAAAAACAAAAAUGAAAAAGAAAAACAAAAACCAAACCCUGCCUUGUAAUUUUGACUUUUACUUUAUCCAAGUCAGGACUCCUGGUCUGAAGAAUAUUUGACCUCAUAACUAUUGGGGGACACUGGGGCUCCCUGCCCAGGGACAGGAUGUUCUCUGCAGAUAUCAGGACGUGGGUGCCGAUGACAAGGGCGCUUUGCCGCCAUGGCCCGGGGCUGGAAGCGCAGCUCUCAAAGGUUGGUUGUGAAGCUUCCAGGGGAGAUGGUCCUCUGCAGGAAGAAUAAGAGCCAUCCUGUAGCCUUCGCUGUUCCAGAAGGCUCCGUGGUGAAUACAUAAUUAGGUCCUCUGUAAUUACCAGUUUGAAUCUGCCUAGGACACUAAGGCUCCCACCCCCUAAUUUACCUUAUAAAUU